rnacentral:tRNA from 1 species
GUUGUCGUGGCCGAGUGGUUAAGGCGAUGGAUUUGAAAUCCAUUGGGGUUUCCCCACACAGGUUCAAAUCCUGCCGACAACA